GCCUAAUACAUGCAAGUCGAACGAGGUGCCUUUGUAGCAGUACGAGGGUAUCCUAGUGGCGAACGGGUGAGUAACGCGUUGGUGACCUACCCCAAGGUGUGGGAUACCGGUCCGAAAGGACUGCUAAUACCGCAUGUGGUCAUCGGGCUUAGAAACCGAUGUCUAAAGCAGUAAUGCGCUUUGGGAGGGACCUGCGUCCCAUCAUCUAGUUGGUAAGGUAACGGCUUACCAGGGCUACGACGGGAAGGGGACCUGAGAGGGUGACCCCCCACAAUGGAACUGAAAUACGGUCCAUACACCUACGGGUGGCAGCAGUAGGGAAUAUUGCACAAUGGACGAAAGUCUGAUGCAGCAACGCCGCGUGCACGAUGAAGGUCUUUGGAUCGUAAAGUGCUUUUCUGGGAGAUGAGAAAGGACAGUAUCCCAGGAAUAAGUCUUGGCUAACUACGUGCCAGCAGCUGCGGUAAAACGUAAGAGGCAAGCGUUAUCCGGAUUCACUGGGCGUAAAGCGUGUGCUGGCGGUUCGGUAAGUUUGGCGUGAAAUCUCCCGGCUUAACUGGGAGAGGUCGUUCAAUACUACCGGACUAGAGAGCAGUAGAGGAAGAUGGAAUUCCCGGUGUAGUGGUGAAAUGCGUAGAUAUCGGGAGGAACACCAGUGGCGAAGGCGAUAUUCUGGAGUGCGUCUGACGCUCAUACAUCGAAAGGUAGGGUAGUAAACGGGAUUAGAGACCCCGGUAAUUCUAGCUGUAAACGAUGUGAACUAGGCGUCGGUGGCUUAAACACCAUCGGUGCCGAAGCAAACGCGAUAAGUUCAC
rnacentral:rRNA from 1 species